rnacentral:miRNA from 1 species
ACCAUUGGUCCACCCGCCUGUUUUGGUACCAGUACCAUGCUGUUUUUGUUACUAUUGCUCUGUAGUAUAGUUUGAAGUCUGGUAUCGNAUACUACAGAGCAAUAGUAACAAAAACAGCAUGGUACUGGUACCAAAACAGGUGGGUGGACCAAUGGU